rnacentral:rRNA from 1 species
GUUGUUGGGUAGGGGAGCGUUCUGUAAGCCGUUGAAGGUGUGCUGUGAGGCAUGCUGGAGGUAUCAGAAGUGCGAAUGCUGACAUAAGUAACGAUAAAGCGGGUGAAAAGCCCGCUCGCCGGAAGACCAAGGGUUCCUGUCCAACGUUAAUCGGGGCAGGGUGAGUCGACCCCUAAGGCGAGGCCGAAAGGCGUAGUCGAUGGGAAACAGGUUAAUAUUCCUGUACUUGGUGUUACUGCGAAGGGGGGACGGAGAAGGCUAUGUCAGCCGGGCGACGGUUGUCCCGGUUUAAGCAUGUAGGCGGAGGUUCCAGGUAAAUCCGGUACCUUAUUAACGCUGAGGUGUGAUGACGAGGCACUACGGUGCUGAAGUGAUAAAUGCCCUGCUUCCAGGAAAAGCCUCUAAGCAUCAGGUAACACGAAAUCGUACCCCAAACCGACACAGGUGGUCAGGUAGAGAAUACCAAGGCGCUUGAGAGAACUCGGGUGAAGGAACUAGGCAAAAUGGUGCCGUAACUUCGGGAGAAGGCACGCUGAUGUGUAGGUGAAGCCCCUGCGGGCGGAGCUGAAAUCAGUCGAAGAUACCAGCUGGCUGCAACUGUUUAUUAAAAACACAGCACUGUGCAAACACGAAAGUGGACGUAUACGGUGUGACGCCUGCCCGGUGCCGGAAGGUUAAUUGAUGGGGUUAGCGGCAACGCGAAGCUCUUGAUCGAAGCCCCGGUAAACGGCGGCCGUAACUAUAACGGUCCUAAGGUAGCGAAAUUCCUUGUCGGGUAAGUUCCGACCUGCACGAAUGGCGUAAUGAUGGCCAGGCUGUCUCCACCCGAGACUCAGUGAAAUUGAACUCGCUGUGAAGAUGCAGUGUACCCGCGGCAAGACGGAAAGACCCCGUGAACCUUUACUAUAGCUUGACACUGAACACUGGUCCUUGAUGUGUAGGAUAGGUGGGAGGCUUUGAAGCGUGGACGCCAGUCUGCGUGGAGCCGCCCUUGAAAUACCACCCUUUAAUGGCUGGUGUUCUAACGUAGACCCGUAAUCCGGGUUGCGGACAGUGUCUGGUGGGUAGUUUGACUGGGGCGGUCUCCUCCCAAAGAGUAACGGAGGAGCACGAA